UACGGGGGGGGCAAGCGUUGUUCGGAAUUACUGGGCGUAAAGGGCUCGUAGGUGGCCAACUAAGUCAGACGUGAAAUCCCUCGGCUUAACCGGGGAACUGCGUCUGAUACUGGAUGGCUUGAGAUUGGGAGAGGGAUGCGGAAUUCCAGGUGUAGCGGUGAAAUGCGUAGAUAUCUGGAGGAACACCGGUGGCGAAGGCGGCAUCCUGGACCAACACUGACACUGAGGAGCGAAAGCUAGGGGAGCGAACGGG
rnacentral:rRNA from 1 species